rnacentral:tRNA from 1 species
GUCCCAGUAGCUCAGCAGGAUAGAGCAACAGCCUUCUAAGCUGUAGGCCGCAGGUUCGAAUCCUGCCUGGGACG